GAUGAAGAACGUAGCGAAAUGCGAUACUUGGUGUGAAUUGCAGAAUCCCGUGAACCAUCGAGUCUUUGAACGCAGGUUGCGCCCGAAGCCAUUAGGCCGAGGGCACGCCUGCCUGGGCGUCACACGUCGUUGCCCCCCCAUCUACUCCUUCGGGAUUGCGGGGGGCGGAUGAUGGCCUCUCGUGCGCCUCGUCGCGCGGUUGGCCUAAAUGCCAAGUCCUCGGCGACGCACGCCACGACAAUCGGUGGUUGCGAAACCUCGGUUGCCUGUCGUGUGCGGUCGUCGCGCAUCGAGGGCUCGAAAAAAUUGCCGGGCUUCGGCUCGACUUUCAACGCGACCCCAGGUCAGGCGGGGUUACCCGCUGAAUUUAAGCAUAUCAAUAAGCGGAGGA
rnacentral:misc_RNA from 1 species